AGUAUGGUGAUUUUUGCCUCUUUCUGUAAUUUUAGCUUGAUUUAUCAAAAUCGAUAUGUUUCUAAGAAAGAAGACGAAGUUUUUCAAGUGAAGUUUUCAGAUCUCAAAUUUAUAAGAUCUUAUAAAUUGGGUCCUUUCAAAUCUUACUGUUGAUCUGUUAGCAAUCAAAAGACACAAAGCUUAACGUAAGAGUACAAUUAUUGAUUUGGUUGAUUUAUUGUCAUAGUUUUCAGAUUUAUAUAAUUAUUUAAUUCAUGAGAAGGUACUAACCUAAGAGUAUAAUUAUUCUAUGAUUACUUCUUCUCUUGGUUGAUUUGGUGAUGUUGCAGAGAAUUACAAAUGUGUGUUGUCAGCUUUUGGAUUUAAAGGAUGUUGUGGAGAAUAUGUGUGGUGAUAUGCAUAUCUAAGUAUCUCACUUCCUUAAGAUUUUGAAAAUUUACGAGGUUGGUGAGCUGUUUGAAGAGGCAAGAGAGACUCUGAAGAAGAAUGUGGUUUGUGCUAUCAAAGAAUUACGUAUUUAUAACGCUUUAUAAAAGUUGCAGAGUUGGCUUCUUAGUAUAUUCUUUUCUCUCAUCUUAUUUAGACAUCUCUUAUACUAAAACAAUUGUAUCUCUCUUUUAGUAGUUGCAUAGUUGAAGAUAUUAGUUGGACAUGUAAGUGAGUUUGGUUUCAAUUGUUUCUUUUAUAGAAGAGUGAGAUAUGGAGAAGCCUUGAUAUUCUCAGACUAUGUUAAAGCAAUAUAUCCCUUGUUGAAGGACGUGGCUCUUUCACCAGAUAUGUCUUUUUUGUGUUGAUUGUCUUUUGGAGGGAUUUUAGAAAAAUUA